CGGGGCGUAGCGCAGUCUGGUAGCGCGCCUGCUUUGGGAGCAGGAUGUCGCAAGUUUGAAUCUUGCCGUCCGACCA
rnacentral:tRNA from 1 species